rnacentral:rRNA from 1 species
AGCAGCCGCGGUAAUUCCAGCUCCAAUAGCGUAUAUUAAAGUUGUUGCAGUUAAAAAGCUCGUAGUUGAAUUUCGGGGUCAGUAGGUCGGUCGUGCCACUGGUAUGAACUGGUCUCACUGAUUCCUCCCUCUUGUAGAACCGUGAUGCCAUUAAUUUGGUGUUGCGGGGAAACAGGACUGUUACUUUGAAAAAAUUAGAGUGUUUAAAGCAAGCUAACGCUUGAAUACAUUAGCAUGGAAUAAUGAAAUAGGACGUCUGUCUUAUUUUGUUGGUUUCUAGGAUGGACGUAAUGAUUAAUAGGGAUAGUUGGGGGCAUUAGUAUUCAAUUGUCAGAGGUGAAAUUCUUGGAUUUAUUGAAGACUAACUACUGCGAAAGCAUUUGCCAAGGAUGUUUUCAUUAAUCAAGAACGAAAGUUAGGGGAUCGAAGACGAUCAGAUACCGUCGUAGU